rnacentral:sRNA from 1 species
UGUACUGAGAUUGUUCGGGAGACAUGGUCCAAGCCCGGUGA